AUGCAGCAGCAGCAAGGUCUCGACAUACAAAAUCUGCAGCGGGAGGUGAAGACGCGGUGGCUCAAGCCCAGAGAGGUUCUGGACAUAUUGCGGAACUGCGAGCUGUUCGGGAUCCAAAACAGAACCCCUCAGAGGCCACCGAGUGGUUCUUGGUUCCUUUUCAACCGUAGGGUACAUCGGUUCUUCCGGAAUGAUGGGUAUCAAUGGCAAAAAAAGAGGAAUGGGAAGAGUGGUAACGAAGCACAUGAGUACCUUAAGGUUAACAAUGUAAAGGCACUGAACUGCUAUUAUGCUCGUGCAGAAAAUAGCCCUACAUUCAUGAGGCGGAUAUAUUGGAUGCUUGAACCGGCUUAUGAGCACAUUGUUCUUGUCCACUAUAGAGAUGUGCUAGAGGGCAGCAUUUCAGUAUCAGCACUAAACGGUUCACCAACAUCCUAUCAGAAUGGCAGUGCUAGCAGAGCGGAUGCACAUAGUUCGCCGGGGUUGACAAGUGAGAUAAUUGCGCCACGUCUCCUCUCUCGCAGCCCAGGAUCCGCGGAAGAAGUUAGUUCCCAGAUCCUGACCAUAAACAAUGAAUCAAAUGAUACAAGUCAAUUUGAUUGGCGGCGGAUGCUUGAAAUGCAGUUGAGUCUGGAAAACAAGGAACGUCAUGAUGUUAACACUGGCGAGGUUCUGCCAAAUCAUGAUCCUAAUCCUAUGCCUGGGAUCCAGAAUGAAGAAUUCGACACAGGUACAAACCUUGCAGAUAUCUUUUAUGAACUGGAGGAGUUUAGUGAAGACAACCGUACUGAAGGAAGCCAACCUUAUCGCGAUCCUAUUGAUGUCAUAAGAAAUUCAGCUCCUGUGACAGUUGAUGAAAACCAAUGGUUCCAUAUUCAUGAGGUUUCUCCAGAAUGGGCAUUUUGUUCUGAAAGUGCUAAGGUUGUCAUUGCAGGAGACUUCCCCUCCAAUAUUUUAUGGGUACUAUUUGGUGAUGUUAAGGUACCUGCGGAAAUUGUCCAGCAAGGUGUCAUCCGUUGUUAUACUCCAUCAUACCUUGGUGCUGGAAAGGUGAGAAUGUGCAUGCUCGAUGAGAAUGGGAAACCUUGCACUCAAGAUCGAGAAUUUGGAUUUGUUGAAAAGCCUACCAACACAAUGAUUAUUGGGAACGGGAAACCCUACAGUGAAGCACGGGAAUUUGAAUUCCAACAGAGGCCUACCAAAAGUGACAAUGAGCUGUUGUUGCUUCUUAACUAUGUGCAGAUGCUUUUUGAUAGUCAUGGCUGUGAACUCUUCUCAAAGUUCAGGUUGCCACUCCCAAAUGUCCAGUCUGGAUUCCCAGUUAACCCCUCAGAGAUUAUAGGGAGAACAUGUGAGCAGUUGGACCAUGAGAAUGCAGUAAAUUGCAUCAUGGAAGUGAUGCUUAACAGUAAGUUCGAGGACUGGCUAUCAUCCAAAUUUGAACAGAACAGUGAAGGGGAGUAUUUGCUUCCUAAGCAAUACCAUGGUGUUAUACAUACAAUUGCCGCACUGGGAUACGACUGGGCUCUGAAACCGCUGCUUAAUAAUGGCGUGCCUAUAAACUACCGUGAUGCAAAUGGAUGGACUGCUCUGCAUUGGGCUGCACGAUUCGGAAGGCAACAAAUGGUGGCGGUUCUUUUUGCUGCAGGCGCUGCUGUGGGUGCACUUUCAGAUCCAACAGCGGAAGACCCUGCUGCCAAGACACCUGCUUCAAUAGCGUCUGCAUAUGGUUUCAUAGGCAUCUCUGCAUUCCUUUCAGAAGCAGAACUAACCAGUACCCUUCAUUCUCUGGAAUCACAAGAAAAUGGGAAACCCGUAGAUCAUAAUGGUGGAGUGAGUACAUCUAGUGCUGUGGAUAGAGUAUCAGAUAAAUGCGCACAUGUGGAUGGUGGAACUGAUGACCAGCUUGCACUGAGGGAUUCUUUAGGAGCUAUCCGAAAUGCUGUUCAAGCUGCCGGGUGCAUACAAGCUACCUUCCGUGUGUUUUCCUUAAAAAAGAAGAAACAAAAGGCUCUUCAGAAUGGAGAUAGCUCUGCUUCGCCAUCUAUGCUCGAAAGAGCUGCAUUAUCUAUCCAGAAGAACUUCAGGUGCUGGAAGAAACGUAAGGAAUAUCAGAAAGUUCGGAAAAAUGUCAUCAAGAUUCAGGCACGGUUCAGAGCUCACCGAGAAAGAAACAAGUACAAGGAGUUACUUCAAAGUGUUGGCAUCCUUGAGAAGAUCAUGCUGAGGUGGUUCCGAAAAGGUGUUGGUCUGCGAGGAAUCAAUAGCAGGGCGAUGCCAAUCGACCAAGACGAGGAAGAAGACAUCGUCAAGGUUUUCCGCAAGGAAAGAGUGGAAACAGCUGUCAGUGAGGCUGUUUCGAGGGUAUCGGCUAUCGUCGGUUGCCCCGUCGCAAGGCUGGACUACCGCAGGAUGCUCGAAUGGCACCAACAAGCAAAGAUUGGCCAUGGAAAGUAG
rnacentral:rRNA from 1 species